GAUCCUGGCUCAGAACGAACGCUGGCGGCGUGCUUAACACAUGCAAGUCGAACGCGAAAGGGACUUCGGUCCUGAGUAAAGUGGCGCACGGGUGAGUAACGCGUGGAUAAUCUACCCGAUGGACCGGGAUAACAUUUCGAAAGGGGUGCUAAUACCGGAUAAGACCACGGCUUCUUAGGGGGCUGCGGUAAAAGGUGGGGACCUUCGGGCCUACCGUCAUCGGAUGAGUCCGCGUACCAUUAGCUAGUUGGUAGGGUAAGGGCCUACCAAGGCGACGAUGGUUAGCUGGUCUGAGAGGAUGAUCAGCCACACUGGAACUGAGACACGGUCCAGACUCCUACGGGAGGCAGCAGUGGGGAAUUUUGCGCAAUGGGGGAAACCCUGACGCAGCAACGCCGCGUGAGUGAAUGAAGGCCUUCGGGUCGUAAAGCUCUGUCAGAGGGGAAGAAGUGCAGGGGUGCUAAUAUCACCUUUGCUUGACGGUACCCUCAAAGGAAGCACCGGCUAACUCCGUGCCAGCCGCCGC
rnacentral:rRNA from 1 species